rnacentral:rRNA from 1 species
GACGAACGCUGGCGGCGUGCCUAAUACAUGCAAGUUGAGCGCUGAAGGUUGGUACUUGUACCAACUGGAUGAGCAGCGAACGGGUGAGUAACGCGUGGGGAAUCUGCCUUUGAGCGGGGGACAACAUUUGGAAACGAAUGCUAAUACCGCAUAAAAACUUUAAACACAAGUUUUAAGUUUGAAAGAUGCAAUUGCAUCACUCAAAGAUGAUCCCGCGUUGUAUUAGCUAGUUGGUGAGGUAAAGGCUCACCAAGGCGAUGAUACAUAGCCAACCUGAGAGGGUGAGCGGCCACAUUGGGACGGAGACACGGCCCAAACUCCUACGGGAGGCAGCAGUAGGGAAUCUUCGGCAAUGGACGAAAGUCUGACCGAGCAACGCCGCGUGAGUGAAGAAGGGUGUCGGAUCGUAAAACUCUGUUGGUAGAGAAGAAAGUUGGUGAGAGUGGAAAGCUCAUCAAGUGACGGUAACUACCCAGAAAGGGACGGCUAACUACGUG